GAAAGAAGUGGAUGGGGCAUAUCCAACUGUGAAAUGGGCAGUUUGAAUUCGUAUAGCCAACCAUGACUUGCUUGAGAUGAAGGCGUAGUAGUAGUUGUUGUUUGUAAUUCAGAUUAUGCAACUAGAAUGAUGGUGGUAGUUAUAACAGCAGGAUCAAAUGAUAAUUUCAAGUCUUCGACCAUAGCUUUCUCGAGUAUCUACCUUGCAGGAUAGACAACAGAUUGUCAUAAACAAAUCAAA
rnacentral:misc_RNA from 1 species